GCGACACCUCUUUGUGGGUCCUCAAGUACUUUUCAUUUGCGAUGCGAGUCUGGAUCUGAGGAGCAACAACCAAGAGUCAGAGAUCUGGGGAGAGAGAUCCAGGUUUCAAGCCUAGAAAGAGGCAGAGAGUUUCAUAGUGCCUGGGCUGUUCUGGACCGUGAUGAAGCUGGCCUUGAACUUCUCUGCCUCUACGGCAGUGCUGACCCCUACUUGGUUCUUCUUGCGCUUUCAUACCCGGCGGAUUGGGCUCAGGGAUGCUCCAUAGUCCUCGGGCGUUUAUCUCCAGAAACAGACCCUGCUCUGCUCUUCCCGGGGUUCUCUUUCGAGGGACCUUUGUCCUAAGGAGCCUCACUUUGAUCAAAACAGAGGCUAGAAGAGGGCAUCAGAUGGCCUGGAACUGGGGCUACAGACGGUCGUCAGUCAUGAUACAGGUGAUGGGAACCGAACCUGGGGCUACAGACGGUCGUCAGUCAUGAUACAGGUGAUGGGAACCGAACCUGGGGCUACAGACGGUCGUCAGUCAUGAUACAGGUGAUGGGAAUUGAGUCUGGGGCCUCAGAAAGAGCAGCCAGUGACCAUCUCUCCAGCACCUUAAAGGCAGAAAUCUUCUCAUACAUGGCAGCUUAGCUUUGACUGAGGAGGAGGAGGAGAGAGCUAGCUUGCGGAUGGUGGGCAGAGAAAAUCCUCCGCUCCUGGGGCUCCCCCUUAGUCUUUACCUCACAGAGCUCCCAUCCCCCCGAGACUGAAAGAACUUCAGAGAUGGUGCCCACAGCCGCUCAGCUUGGGGAGUCUGAUUGACAGCCCCAAUCUGGACUGGACACUGAGCAAAGGGUCUCAAUCCUUUUGAUUGCCGUCUGCAGCCGUCUCCCGGUUACUGCUCGGGAGGAGGAGCCAGAAGGGUUCAUUGAAAUUCAUUUUUGUGGAUGUUUAAUAUUUCAAUUAAGAUGAUUAGGCCCAAGCCUGAAUGAGCAGCAGGGAGGCAGACCAGCCGAGAAGACACACAGUAAUGAGAUCAGUGGGCCCAUCCACAGGGUCCCCCAUGUUCGCAGGGCGUGAUCUGUUUAACAUCUCCACAAAUGCCAAGAUCGGAUUAGAAAGGCAAGAAAGGAGAAGUGGGGGUGGGGCCGGUGAAUGGAAAGUUACUGUGGAGAAAGAGCUUCCCACUUCCUGGUCUGCUGGCACUGCCAUGGCAUCUCCUGGCCACUCAUCAUAGAGUCCCAUGACCCCCACCCUCUUGUUUCAUUUUAGGGCACCCUGUCGGGAGGACCUGCACAUCUAUCUGUAUGGUGAAAUGUAAUCAAGUCUCCACACAGACAUUCACUCAACAUACACACCUGCCAGAAUGUAGUAGCUUCAGGCCACAGAAACCCAGGUUAAAGGAGGUGGACAUGGUCACCAAGGAAUGGGGGAGCAGGAGGAAGGUCACCAGGGACUCUCAUGCAGUGCUUCAGGGGCACAGAGGGAAAGAUGGCCAGCCAGGUUCACAUCACCACAUUCCCACAUGGAAUUAUGGGUGUGGAACCCAGCCUACCCAGGCUGGAGUCUCAGCUGGACGCAUUUCCAACUGUGUGACUUCGGGCAAGUUAUUCAACCACUCUGUGCCUUGGUUUCUUCAUCCAUAUCAUUUAGGGCGGUGUGUUUAACAAGUUAGGAACCUCAAACAUUUGGAACAAUGCCUAAGACACGGUUCUGCUAUUUCAGAUUCAGAAGAAGAAUCUGCUUGUUGUGAUAACUCAGGAACGGAAGCCUCCAGGGUACAUCUGGGAGUCUCAGAGACACCCACAGCACCCUAGAGACAUCAGCUCCACCCAGGGUAGAGGAACGGAAUAAGAAGAGCCGGAAGUGGGAGGGCUACAGAAGCUGCCAGUGAAGUGGGGACGGUGAGCCUGGACCGCUACCACUGAGAGCUGAUGGCCCCAGACCCUCCCUGCUCUGAGCAGGCACCGUGCUUGAACAGAGAGGGCCAACCUUCCUCUGGAUCAUGGAACACAUGAUCAGGUUUUGAAGUAUAAUUGGUUUCUUUUGGGGGCGGAGGGGAAUAAUGGUCCCUAAAUAUGUUUUUUGGCUCCUCUCAUCUGCCGCCAAGUGAAGGAAGGAGUAACUGGGUAUUGGCCCUCAAGGGAGCCUGGCAGCUGUGUGUGUUCCCAUAGAAGGAAUCGGGACUCUCCACGUCACAGGUUCUUUGCAUGUAAGCACCUACUAUGUAUGAGCAAGACACCACACUAGACUCUGAGCAGUGGGAUGCCGAAUUAAAGGGAAUCUUGGACUUCAAGAGACUUCUUCCCAGUGAGGGCUGCCAGCAGCUGGGCUCCCUGCCCAUACACUUAUACACACAAACCCCCCAGAGAGAAGCAAGGGGGCGUCUCCAAGUGCCAGACUGCUAUAGUUCCCCUUGCUUUCUUUUCGGGAAAAUUAUGCAGCCCUCUUUCUGCACUCGCUUCCACUAGCUCUCUCUCCCCACACCCCUUUGCAUUUUCCUCUCUGCCUCACUUUUGCUCUUUUCCCCCAACCCUGUGACCGCUUCUUCAUCUACACCUCCCUUUCUGCCCCUCAACCUGCUGCCUGUUCUCUCCCGUUUCUCUUCCUUGAUUCCUCAUUUUCAGGCUCCCCAAACACCAGACUCCCCUCUACUCCCCACCCCCAGAUUCCAUCCCCUGGGUCUUCUCUUCCCCUUCCAGCACCGGGGACAGCUCCAGCCCCCGGAACAAUGGACCCCACCUUAGGGCUCCUCUAUAAAUUCUCCAUUGUAGUGUAUUGCCCAAUUCCUGAUUGGGGAGUAAAAUGGGGGAAGGGUUGUUAACAAGACCAGCUGCUCUUCUAGGGUGGAAAGGGAGUCAGGGAGGAUAGAGAUAGAAAGAGGGAGUGGCUUUUGCCUGGG